CCACGGCCGAAAUGCAGCACACCAAAGCGCCUGCGCGAUGCUAGUAGCAAGCCAGGCGU
rnacentral:SRP_RNA from 14 species